rnacentral:rRNA from 1 species
GACGAACGCUGGCGGCGUGCUUAAUACAUGCAAGUCGAGCGAGAACCUAUUGAGGGGUAACCCUCGAUAGGGGAAAGCGGCGAACGGGUGAGUAACACGUGGGUAACGUGCCCCAGACACUGGGAUAACAGCGGGAAACCGCUGCUAAUACCGGAUAACCCUCAUAGAGCGCAUGCUCGGUGAGGCAAAUGCUCCGGCGGUCUGGGAUCGGCCCGCGACGUAUCAGCUUGUUGGUGGGGUAACGGCCUACCAAGGCGGUGACGCGUAGCUGGCGUGAGAGCGUGGCCAGCCACACUGGGACUGAGACACGGCCCAGACUCCUACGGGAGGCAGCAGUAGGGAAUCUUGCACAAUGGGCGCAAGCCUGAUGCAGCGACGCCGCGUGAGGGAUGAAGGCUUUCGGGUUGUAAACCUCUUUCAGCAGGGACGAAGCCCUUUGGGUGACGGUACCUGCAGAAGAAGCCCCGGCCAACUACGUGCCAGCAGCCGCGGUAAUACGUAGGGGGGCGAGCGUUGUCCGGAUUUAUUGGGCGUAAAGAGCUCGUAGGCGGCUCUU